UUCAGGUCCUUGUCGCUGUGUCUGAAACAACGUAAGAAGAUAAAGAUUUGCUCUCAAAGAGAGUUUAUACCAACAGGUAAAGGGAGAACAGUUUUGAUAGAAGAAUAAAUACAUCCAAUGGUAUAAAAAAACCCUUACAGCACAUUUGAUAAAGUCAGACACCUGGGGACUACGAAAACGGCAGAGGAUAUGUGUUUCCUUAAUUCUGAGUGUGUGCUUCAAUUGGACUGUAGGGACGUAUCUCCAUUGCUGGUGGUGGUCUAGCGCACUCUGAGGAAGGAUGUGAUAACCUGAGCGGACUGAUAAAUAGGAUAGAAGACUUAUGUGAGCAACAAAAAAGGAUAUCAGAAUUUAUAAUAACAGAGACCAGCUGGCUGUUAAGAAAAGUGCCUGGACUGGCAGAUUUAAAAAUACCCUGACUGUCAAGAUAAAGCUGAUAACUUCCCCUGGAUCCUUUCAGAAGUGGGUAAAAUGUUCCUGAUAUGUUGUAGCUAGUGAAUUGUGGUCAUGAAACGUUGUCUGUGUUUAAAUGAAGAAGCAGAGAGUGACUGGCCUGACAACUCAUCAUUUUCAGGAGUGAAAUACUAUGUAAAUUAAUUAUGUAAAUGUGGGGUUUAGUAUGCCUUGUCCAAAUUAGAUCUUUGCUGCACAC